rnacentral:rRNA from 1 species
CGGCGACGCCGAGCGGACCCGAAAAACCGGUACUCAGUUCGGAUCGGAGUCUGNAACCCGACUCCGUGAAGCUGGAUUCGCUAGUAAUCGCGCAUCAGCCAUGGCGCGGUGAAUACGUUCCCGGGCCUUGUACACACCGCCCGUCAAGCCAUGGGAGCCGGGGGUGCUUGAAGUGCGUCGCCGUGAGGCGCGCCCUAGAGCAAAACCGGUGACUGGGGCUAAGUCGUAACAAGGUAAC